CAAAGGCGUUUAAGUACCUUAACGGGGUGGGAAGGGUAGAAUAUAGAGAUGAUGACGAUGCGAUAAUAUCAUAAAGUGACCCCUCUUUGGGAAUAUCUGCGGGACAUUGUAUCGAAUGAUCCAUAUUAUAGUCAAACCUAGGACCUCUUUCUCUUUUGCUUGCAUUAUUUAAACAUUUUUCCUAAAGUAACGCUUUUCAAAUUAAUUCUCCCUCCCGCUUUUAUCAUGCCUUUCCCAUUUUCAAAACUCUCAAGUUAUUUGAAUGCUUUAUAUGCAAACCUUACUUUUUUAUUUUCCUUAUCUCCCAUUAAAGUCACUAUUAGCACGGCCGGUAACCACACUAAUGGAUCUUGAGGGGUGCCUAACACCUUCCCCUCAAGAUAAUUUCAAGUCCUUACCCAAACUCCGGUUUUCUUUCAAAAUACUCUCUUCUUCUUAAAAGUGUCC
rnacentral:lncRNA from 1 species